AUAUAUGAACCAGGAAGAGAGCUCGACGAAGUACCCCUCAGAACCAUUCGAGGUGCGGGAACGUUCGAAGUGUACCACCUGGUAUGAGGCCAACCGAAGAAAGAAGCUAGUAUGACCAUUCCCGUCAAUAGCAGUCAGCAGCUAGAGCUAUAUAUGGAAAGACGUGUGGAGGAGAUUGCCCGGAAGAUUCUGGCGAAUUCUAGCAAUGGAAGGAUCUGGAAUAAUGUGGAAUCAACCCCAAAUCCGCUGGAGAUCCAUUAUCUAUCAAAUCAAAUCAAGGAUCAAGCUAAAUAUGGAAGGAAAUAAUCUGCCAGA
rnacentral:lncRNA from 1 species